AUGGGGGGGAUGGCUCUCCUUGACAAAGAGGCUGAUGGCUUCGUUUUUGAAGACGCUGAUCACUGUCUCCCCAAGGCAUCUAAGUGGUCGGCUGUAGGGAAGGUAUGUUCUUCAAAACCUAUGAAGAAAUCUGUCCUGGAGAGAACCUUGCCACGGGCUUGGAGUUUGCAUAAAGAGGCGAAGUUUAGGGAUAUGGGAUCAAAUAUUUUUGUGGUUCACUUUGGUUGUGAGGGCGAUUGGAAGCAUGUGUUGCAGAAUGGGCCUUGGCAGUUUGAAUUCUCUGUGCUGAUCAUGAAAGACUAUGAAGGGGCUGUGAGGCCAUCGGAGAUGGUGUUUGAUAGGAUUGAUAUAUGGGUUCUAGUGGGCGAUUUACCAUCGGACAAAAGAACUGAUAAAUUCGGAAAGGCUCUUGGCAAUUGGUUGGGGUCUGCGGUGAGGGUGGACACGGACAAUGACGGCAUUGCUCAUGGCCAGCACCUUCGGAUUAGGACAACUAUCUCAGUGUUUGAACCCCUCAUACGUGGAUUCAACCUAAAGAAGGCAAAGGAAGAUAUGGAAGGGACAUGGUUUGAUUUUCAUUAUGAGAAAAUCCCUCAUUUUUGCUUUGAUUGUGGGAGACAUGUGCAUUUAGGUGGGAUCUGUAACCCCCCCGAGGAUGCAUCUGUUCACUAG
rnacentral:rRNA from 1 species